rnacentral:lncRNA from 1 species
UUCCAAAUAUGGUUAGGGUCAAUUGUAUUUGUACAAUUCGAUUAUAUAAUUUUUAUGAAAGAGGUCACUCUGUUUAUAUCGGCCAUUCGAUUAUAUAAUUUUUAUGAAAGAGGUCACUCUGUUUAUAUCGGCCACGUAAACAAUCGUGUAUUGGAAAUUUGAAGUAGAUAAACAUAUUAAUUAAAUGGACAGAGAAAUUGAUUAUUAGCGCUAUAAAAGUUAAUGAUUAAUUCUAACAACAUAUGUGUCCUGAAUUAGUGUCAAAAUACUGUCACAAUAGAUCUUUCUCCUUUAGAAAAUCUUGUCCCAAGAUUUAAAUUAAUUAGAAAAAAAAAAAUUAAUAAUUUUAUAAGAUUUAGAGCAACUUAAAAUAUCAUAAUUUACUAAAUUGAUUAUUGGAUUUAUAACUUUUAAUUAUUAAUUUCAGUAAAUAAUUAAUAUCCAUAUGAAACUUCAAAAUAACAAAGUAGACAAUUAAGUUAAAUAUAAAGCAAGAAUAAGGAAUGAACUUUGUUUUAACAUUUUUCUAUUUUUUUAUUUUUUUCAUUUUUUUGAGAGUUUAUUUCUUUUAAUCACAUUUUUUAUUGUUGGUUUUAUUUAUGAAGUGAACUUUCCACAAUAGUUUUAAAUGUUAUUAUUAUUAUUUAUUUAUUACUAUUAUUCUUCUAUUUGCUCAAUUUACAAUUGGACAUUUAUUUAAAAAUUAUGAAAUUUAUGGUACAAUAAUUAUAUACGCCUAAAGGUUUCAACAAAAUGUUGUAAUUCAAAAUGAAUUAUGAUUAUGCAGAAUAAACUUUUAACAGAAUUUGAUUAAGCAUCUUUUUAGUCUCUAAGUUACUGUUAAUCGUAUGCAUGGCGUUCCUACCUGCGAGGUAACCCAUUUUAUUUGUGGCGCUCCUUCUUUCAGGUAGCCCAUUUUUAUGCUUAUAUAUAUGUGGCGCUCCUACUUUGAGGUAGCCCAAUCUCAAUAUUAAGUUAAUAUCUACACUAUUUUUAUGACUAUAUUGUACGAUUUUCUUUACAGCAAAUGGCAACAGGACUUCCUACCAUGUUCCAUGUAGAUUAAUUUUACAAGGGGAUUCACUUUAUGUGUCCUUUAAAUAAAAUUCAAUCUAAUCUUAGUAAAAAACUAUAUGCAAAUAAUAUUCUGAAAAGUUAUUCAAUGAAAUGAAAAUUUAAAUGAAUACAUAAUUUACAACAUUUUAUCGAGCAAAUUUGCUAACUUAAUUAUCAAUGUUUUAGUCAUUUCAAUUAAAAAUUUACAGAUAUGAAACACAAUGUAGUUUAUGAAAAUAAAAAUGAAGAUUUAGUUUCAUCGCUGGAAAUCUUAAAAUCAAAAUUAAAUUUCUUAUUUAUCAUUUUGGAAUUACUUACAGUUUCAUGAAAAUACAUAUUUUAAACAAUACACAAUAAUAUAACUUUACAAUUGUUAUUGUCACUGAUGUUAAUAAAUGUUCUAACAUAGUUCUGCUUACUGUAUCCUUUUUGUUGAUUUUCUAAAUGUCACAAAUGAAAUAUUUUGUAUAUAUUAUGGAAUCCAAAAGUUUGAAAGUUACGAAAAUUAUGUCCAACUGCAAAUAGUUAAUGUUCGAAUUGUCCUUCUAGCAUGUUAUUUGGUCUGGAUGUGAUGAUAAACUUUGACUUUUAUAGAUGUCUGUAUAGAUGUCAGCUUUAAGGGUCGUCCACCAAUUAUUGUAAUGAGAAAUAGUUGAAUAUUCUGUUGUGGGGAAAACUAGCUUAUGUCUCUAAUGAAAUGAGACAUUGCGGCUCUGCUACCGUUGUUGAAAGCAGGCCAGCUGUUCUGAUGUUGUAGAGACAGACCGGGAUCAACUGACACCUAUAAGAUUCAAAAUUCAAACUCUUUUAAUAAAAUAAAUAAAAACAAAAAUAAUACAAAACAGUUACAAUCACAAUAAAGUAAAACAAAUAUUGGCAAUUAUUUCUUUAAAAGAAAACAAUGGAUAUUUUAUUAAAACUCUAUUUAUGAAAACUAUUAAUUAUCUCUAUUUCAAUUUAACUUGUUUUAAAAUAUUUUACUUUAAAUCUUAAUAACUUUUAAUUAACAAUUCAAAACUCAUGACUUACCUAUAAGAUUCAAAAUUCAAACUCUGACGUCUCAAAGCAGAAUUUUGACUUAUAUAGCAAUCAUGAUAAAAUUAGAAAUUUCCAAAUAUGGUUAGGGUCAAUUGUAUUUGUACAAUUCGAUUAUAUAAUUUUUAUGAAAGAGGUCACUCUGUUUAUAUCGGCCAUUCGAUUAUAUAAUUUUUAUGAAAGAGGUCACUCUGUUUAUAUCGGCCACGUAAACAAUCGUGUAUUGGAAAUUUGAAGUAGAUAAACAUAUUAAUUAAAUGGACAGAGAAAUUGAUUAUUAGCGCUAUAAAAGUUAAUGAUUAAUUCUAACAACAUAUGUGUCCUAAAUUAGUGUCAAAAU